GAAACAGUGUAUCGGAUAUGUAGUUUUUUCAUGCUUAGCACUACGCGUUUCGAGAAUUUAAAGUAGGAUAUUUACCUGCUGAGAUCCUGCAUCAAGAGGAUCAGUGAGGACAAGAAUAAUUAAUGCUGUAUCUGCAGGAGUGUUCCUGCAUCAACAUUGUCACAAUCAAGACUAAACACAGUGGAAUUAAUGACUUCACAACAUACGUGCUCGCGGAGCAAGUUGUGAGCAGCAAGGCGCGAGCAUGGAGCAGCGUGAGCAAGCUACCCCCACUACCGGACCAGAGCGGAGAGUGGGGAGAGUCGCGUGGGGCACACAACAGCUGCCGCCAGGCAAUGUAAAUCCGCGGCCACCUGCAGGGAUAUCACUCACGAAUUAUUAAUGCGACAAAUAAAGGAGAAUGUACA